rnacentral:tRNA from 1 species
AAUUGGGGCCUGUAUGGCAGAAAUUGCCCCUAAUUUAGGUUUAGGUUAUGAUUCAGGUUG